AAGCAGAGGACAGUGGCGGACGGGUGAGUAACGCGUGAGGAACCUGCCUUGAAGAGGGGGACAACAGUUGGAAACGACUGCUAAUACCGCAUGACGUGUUCGGAUGGCAUCAUCUGAACAUCAAAGAUUUAUCGCUGAAAGAUGGGCUCGCGUCUGAUUAGAUAGUUGGUGGGGUAACGGCUCACCAAGGCGACGAUCAGUAGCCGGUCUGAGAGGAUGAACGGCCACAUUGGGACUGAGAUACGGCCCAGACUCC
rnacentral:rRNA from 1 species